UUCAGCGCCCAGGAACCUCUCUCCUUUUUCUUCUGCUCAUCGCCGACGCUGAUCAACGCCAGCAAUAGAACCAGAUGACGCCGGUGAGCUCCAACAACGACGAGGUUGAGUGAAAAAACGACGAUAAAAUCAUGGAGGAGAACCGCGAAUUCAAAGUGUCAUCUUCAACUAUUUUCUACUGUCUCUGACACUGGAUAGGUGAUGUUUGAUCGGCGCUCAACUCUCCACAUGGCCAGACGUUCCAUUCUCGACCAACUCCACCACCUUUGGUUGCCAGCAUCCAUCCCAAUAGAGAGAAAGAGAAGACAAAACGCAAAUCAUCAUCAUCGACGAUGG
rnacentral:misc_RNA from 1 species